CGGGUUGUCGCAUUUGUCGAGAACUACCGAGGCAGCAAGAUGUCGAAGCUUGUAUUCCUAGUUGCCAGCUUGAUGAUCCUGAGCACUUUGGCGGUGGGAACUGGGUCGAGCACUACAGGUCCAUCCACCGUAGCGACCAUAGCGACCGCAGCGACCACGAAGAAGGCGACUGUUACCACAGCAGCCACCACUGGGGCCGCCACUGCCAAACAGACAACAGUCAAGCCAACCACGACAGGCGUCGCAGGUCUAGCACCAAGUCUCUUCCUUGUUGCCGUCCCUAUGAUUGUAGCCAAGUAUUUGUAAAGACAUCAAGAUGACUUGGAUCGCCUGCUCUUGCUGGAUCGUCAACGAAUGUCGGGAGAAUCAGAGCAUGAUGAUAUGUUGAUUGGUAACUGUCGUGUUCAUCGCCUAGGUAACAUAAGAUCUAUGGAUGAGCCAGGACGCUCAAUCAGCAAGACAUUGUUGUGGUGACUAACGCUGAUUGACCGACUUAGCUCCAGACACGAGAUCUCACCAUCUGCAAAGGAUUGUAUCGGGGAGAGGACCGGGCACCUUGACAUUUUCGGUGCCUGCAUUGAUAACUCAACGUCGGGAGGACCACCAUUUUACAUUUCGAUUGUUCCCAAGUGCGGCAUCGCAAAAGACAGUACCAGGAAUAGCAAGCAGCAUGGUUUCAUGACCGCCAGGACGGAUAUGACGGCAAAGGCGAUAUCAAUAUAUAAUUCCGCUUUAAUUCAAGAAAUCACAUUUUGUUAAAUGCAGUUUAUCAUGAUGUGAAGUUUUGACUGUACCGGUAUUUUAAAACCGAUCAAGUGCCGUUGCGACAAUGACACGUACGCGUGUAAGUUGAAACGGCCCCUGACCGAGUUAACCGUAACUUGGACGUCAAACUCGCUUCUAUGUCCUGUAUGGCAUGUAGAUUGGCCGGUGAUACUGUAGAAUAUUAAAGAUAUUUAUAUCAGUAUUAA